rnacentral:rRNA from 1 species
UACGUAGGGUGCGAGCGUUAAUCGGAAUUACUGGGCGUAAAGCGUGCGCAGGCGGUUCUCCAAGUCCGUUGUGAAAGCCCCGGGCUCAACCUGGGAAUGGCAGUGGAAACUAGGGGACUGGAAUCUGGCAGAGGGGGGUGGAAUGCCGCGUGUAGCAGUGAAAUGCGUAGAGAUGCGGCGGAACACCGAUGGCGAAGGCAGCCCCCUGGGCUGAGAUUGACGCUCAGGCACGAAAGCGUGGGGAGCAA